ACUGAAGCGGCAACAGCUCAAAUUUGAAAUCUGGCUUCGGCCCGAGUUGUAAUUUGCAGAGGAUGUUUCUGGCGCGGUGCCUUCCGAGUUCCCUGGAACGGGACGCCACAGAGGGUGAGAGCCCCGUAUGGUUGGACACCAAGCCUGUGUGAAACUCCUUCAACGAGUCGAGUAGUUUGGGAAUGCUGCUCUAAAUGGGAGGUAAAUCUCUUCUAAAGCUAAAUACCGGCCAGAGACCGAUAGCGCACAAGUAGAGUGAUCGAAAGAUGAAAAGCACCUUGAAAAGGGGGUUAAAUAGUACGUGAAAUUGUUGAAAGGGAAGCACUUAUGACCAGACUUGGGCCGGGCGGCUCAUCAGGGGUUCUCCCCUGUGCACUCCGCCCGGCACAGGCCAGCAUCGGUUCUCGUGGGGGGAUAAGACCGUCAGGAACGUAGCACCCUCCGGGGUGUGUUAUAGCCUGGCGGACGAUACCCCCGUGGGGACCGAGGUCCGCGCUCCGCAAGGAUGCUGGCGUAAUGGUCAUCAGUGACCCGUCUUGAAACACGGACCAAGGAGUCGUCCAUUAGAGCGAGCGUUUGGGUGUAAAACCCGCACGCGUAAUGAAAGUGAACGCAGGUGAGAGCUUCGGCGCAUCAUCGACCGAUCCUGAUGUUCUCGGAAGGAUUUGAGUAAGAGUUUUAACGGACGGACCCGAAAGACAGUGAACUAUGCUUGUAUAGGGUGAAGCCAGAGGAAACUCUGGUGGAGGCUCGCAGCGGUUCUGACGUGCAAAUCGAUCGUCAA
rnacentral:rRNA from 1 species